GUUGUGGGGAGCCCUGAGUGUGGCCCUGCAUGAAUGAGUGUGUGCAUGCCACUGAUUUGAUUGCCACAAAUGAUUUCCUCAGAUCUAGACAAACACCAGGAAUGGAAGAAGAAACAAAAUCCUUUUAGCCAUUUCUAGCUCUUGCCUUCAUAGUCUAAUUAAUGAUCUUUUCACUUAAACAAAACAUAUAUUACUAGCUGUGUUUCCUGAGACCUGUUGCUUACUUUUGAAUGCCUUUGUGUACUUCUUUGGAAGGCAAAAAUGAUGAACAUACCAUACAAGCUGUGGGAAAGAUUAAAUAAAAUAACGAAUAUGAAGUAAGGUAGACACAAGUAAAUGUUCUUCUGGUUUCCUUAUUGCUAUUUGUAACCAUAGAACAUGAAGUUAGGUGGGAAGUGUUCAUCAUCCUAUACACAGAGCAUAUGUUAGAUGCUUGGGAUUUAGAGGAGUAUUGACUCUUCUUUUUCUUCCUGGAAGUAAAGUAUAGUCUGAUUUGGGAGACAGUAUAGAUAUAUAAAAGGAACUGAGACCACAUAGGGUCCAAGUGCCAGAUUUGUGAGACAAGUUGCAGGUCAUUUAAACAUGUGAAGGUAAAGGAGGCUCUAUGGAUUCGUGGCUGGGUGGAAAGAGAGAUUUGGGGGAGCUGGAAGGGCUUGCAAAGCCUCACAGAAAGGCUGGGAUAAAUUAAGGGCAUUUUUCCAUACAGAUGAACUUGAAGAACGUCAGUUUCUCACGUAGAAACUAUACAAACUACUAAUUCUGUUUCCCCCAAAGCAAGACCUAGCUGGAAAAUAAUCAGCCUUGAAAACUGAAGAUCAAAAAUGCCAGCUCCAAUCGGCCUAUCCUUGCUUUACCUCCCUUACAGAGUAGCCACUGAGCAAGAGAACAGUGAUGGCAGGUAAGUUAAGGAUAGACUGACCGGGAGGCAUUUUUGAUCUCUGAUUUUCAAGGCUGAUUAUUUUCCAUCCAGUUCUUAUUGUAGGGAAAGAGGGGUAAGUAAUUGUUUUUCAGUGAGAAGGC
rnacentral:lncRNA from 1 species